AUGACUAUGCCAAAUUCAACAAACAACGCACCUAUCAAAAGAUCUUAUGAAUCAAAUUUUAAUGAAAAUUGGAGUAAACUAACUUUCAACCGAAAAGAAUUCCAUCACCAUCAGAGACAAACAAAACCUGAUAUUAAACAUCCAUGCUUUAAAGACGUCUGGUCCACCAUAAAGCAGAACAAAAAGUUCAAAAGCUAUGAAAUAAAAUUGUACAAGACAUUGAUUACUAUGUAUAUCAAACAAACACCAACAAAUUUUACAUGA